rnacentral:rRNA from 1 species
GCAGUCGAGCGGACAGAUGGGAGCUUGCUCCCUGAUGUUAGCGGCGGACGGGUGAGUAACACGUGGGUAACCUGCCUGUAAGACUGGGAUAACUCCGGGAAACCGGGGCUAAUACCGGAUGCUUGUUUGAACCGCAUGGUUCAGACAUAAAAGGUGGCUUCGGCUACCACUUACAGAUGGACCCGCGGCGCAUUAGCUAGUUGGUGAGGUAACGGCUCACCAAGGCGACGAUGCGUAGCCGACCUGAGAGGGUGAUCGGCCACACUGGGACUGAGACACGGCCCAGACUCCUACGGGAGGCAGCAGUAGGGAAUCUUCCGCAAUGGACGAAAGUCUGACGGAGCAACGCCGCGUGAGUGAUGAAGGUUUUCGGAUCGUAAAGCUCUGUUGUUAGGGAAGAACAAGUGCCGUUCAAAUAGGGCGGCACCUUGACGGUACCUAACCAGAAAGCCACGGCUAACUACGUGCCAGCAGCCGCGGUAAUACGUAGGUGGCAAGCGUUGUCCGGAAUUAUUGGGCGUAAAGGGCUCGCAGGCGGUUUCUUAAGUCUGAUGUGAAAGCCCCCGGCUCAACCGGGGAGGGUCAUUGGAAACUGGGGAACUUGAGUGCAGAAGAGGAGAGUGGAAUUCCACGUGUAGCGGUGAAAUGCGUAGAGAUGUGGAGGAACACCAGUGGCGAAGGCGACUCUCUGGUCUGUAACUGACGCUGAGGAGCGAAAGCGUGAGGAGCGAACAGGAUUAGAUACCCUGGUAGUCCAC